rnacentral:rRNA from 1 species
CUACGGGGUGCACCAGUGGGGAAUAUUGCACAAUGGGCGCAAGCCUGAUGCAGCCAUGCCGCGUGUAUGAAGAAGGCCUUCGGGUUGUAAAGUACUUUCAGCGGGGAGGAAGGGAGUAAAGUUAAUACCUUUGCUCAUUGACGUUACCCGCAGAAGAAGCACCGGCGAACUCCGUGCCAGCAGCCGCGGUAAUACGGAGGGUGCAAGCGUUAAUCGGAAUUACUGGGCGUAAAGCGCACGCAGGCGGUUUGUUAAGUCAGAUGUGAAAUCCCCGGGCUCAACCUGGGAACUGCAUCUGAUACUGGGAAGCUUGAGUCUCGUAGAGGGGGGUAGAAUUCCAGGUGUAGCGGUGAAAUGCGUAGAGAUCUGGAGGAAUACCGGUGGCGAAGGCGGCCCCCUGGACGAAGACUGACGCUCAGGUGCGAAAGCGUGGGGAGCAAACAGGAUUAGAUACCCCUGUAGUC